GGCUGCUCACUUUGGCAGCCCAUAUACUAAAAUGGGAACACCACAGAGAAGAUUAGCAUGGCCCCUGCCCAAGGAUGACACGCAAAUCCGUUAAAUGUUCCAUAUUUUU
ensembl:snRNA U6 U6 spliceosomal RNA